UUAACCCAUUUGAUAUGUUCUUUCCCUUCCAAAAUCUCAUAUGUAACUUUGUAUUACAUCAAAAUCUCAUUACUCGCGUACAAUGUUGCAGCUUAUGAGAGCAGAAUUUACGUGAUAGGUUCCAGUUCACCAGUAAUAAACAAGAUGAUGAAAAUUUACCCCAUAAAAACAAAUAACAAAGUAAAGCAAACUGGCAAUGGGGGGCAUAGCUCAGUGGCAGUUGCAUAUAUGUUGGACCCUAGAGACCUAGAUUCAACUCCCCCCUCCCACUACAUAUUAGUAAAAAAAAAAAGAAGUAAAGCAAG
rnacentral:misc_RNA from 1 species